rnacentral:misc_RNA from 1 species
GAAAUGCGAUAAGUAGUGUGAAUUGCAGAAUUCAGUGAAUCAUCGAAUCUUUGAACGCACAUUGCGCCCCUUGGUAUUCCAUGGGGCAUGCCUGUUCGAGCGUCAUCUACACCCUCAAGCUCUGCUUGGUGUUGGGCGUCUUUGUCCCGCCUCCGCGCGCGGACUCGCCCCAAAUUCAUUGGCAGCGGUCCUUGCCUCCUCUCGCGCAGCACAUUGCGCUUCUCGAGGUGUUGCGGCCCGCGUCCAGAAAGCAAUCGUUACCGUCUUUGACCUCGGAUCAGGUAGGGAUACCCGCUGAACUCAAGC